CGGCAGGGAAGAUGAUGACGGUACCUGCAGAAGCAGCUGCGGCUAACUACGUGCCAGCAGCCGCGGUAAUACGUAGGCAGCAAGCGUUGUUCGGAGUUACUGGGCGUAAAGGGUGUGUAGGCGGUUGUUUAAGUUUGGUGUGAAAUCUCCCGGCUCAACUGGGAGGGUGCGCCGAAUACUGAAUGACUCGAGUGCGGGAGAGGAGAGUGGAAUUCCUGGUGUAGCGGUGAAAUGCGUAGAUAUCAGGAGGAACACCGGUGGUGUAGACGGCUCUCUGGACCGUAACUGACGCUGAGACACGAAAGCGUGGGUAGCAAACAGGAUUAGAUACCCUGGUAGUCCACGCCCUAAACGAUGCAUAUUUGGUGUGGGCAGUUCAUUCUGUCCGUGCCGGAGCUAACGCGUUAAAUAUGCCGCCUGGGGAGUACAGUCGCAAGGCUGAAACUCAAAGGAAUUGACGGGGGCCCGCACAAGCGGUGGAGCAUGUGGUUCAAUUCGACGCAACGCGAAGAACCUUACCUGGGCUCGAACGGCUGGUCAACGGCGGUGGAAACAUCGCUACCCCGCAAGGGGGUCCAGUCGAGGUGCUGCAUGGCUGUCGUCAGCUCGUGUCGUGAGAU
rnacentral:rRNA from 1 species